AUUGAACGCUGGCGGCAGGCCUAACACAUGCAAGUCGAGCGGAUGAAGGGAGCUUGCUCCUGGAUUCAGCGGCGGACGGGUGAGUAAUGCCUAGGAAUCUGCCUGGUAGUGGGGGAUAACGUCCGGAAACGGGCGCUAAUACCGCAUACGUCCUGAGGGAGAAAGUGGGGGAUCUUCGGACCUCACGCUAUCAGAUGAGCCUAGGUCGGAUUAGCUAGUUGGUGGGGUAAAGGCCUACCAAGGCGACGAUCCGUAACUGGUCUGAGAGGAUGAUCAGUCACACUGGAACUGAGACACGGUCCAGACUCCACGGGAGGCAGCAGUGGGGAAUAUUGGACAAUGGGCGAAAGCCUGAUCCAGCCAUGCCGCGUGUGUGAAGAAGGUCUUCGGAUUGUAAAGCACUUUAAGUUGGGAGGAAGGGCAGUAAUUUAAUACCUUGCUGUUUUGACGUUACCAACAGAAUAAGCACCGGCUAACUUCGUG
rnacentral:rRNA from 1 species